rnacentral:rRNA from 1 species
GUGGGGAAUAUUGGGCAAUGGGCGAAAGCCUGACCCAGCAACGCCGCGUGAAGGAAGAAGGUCUUCGGAUCGCAAACUUCUAUCCUUGGUGAAGAUAAUGACGGUAGCCGAGAAGGAAGCCCCGGCUAACUACGUGCCAGCAGCCGCGGUAAUACGUAGGGGGCAAGCGUUGUCCGGAAUGAUUGGGCGUAAAGGGCGCGUAGGCGGCCUGGUAAGUCUGGAGUGAAAGUCCUGCUUUUAAGGUAGGAAUUGCUUUGGAUACUGUCGGGCUUGAGUGCAGGAGAGGUAAGUGGAAUUCCCGGUGUAGCGGUGAAAUGCGUAGAGAUCGGGAGGAACACCAGUGGCGAAGGCGACUUACUGGACUGUAACUGACGCUGAGGCGCGAAAGUGUGGGGAGCAAACAGGAUUAGAAACCCGGGUAGUCC